rnacentral:rRNA from 1 species
CAGUAGCCGCGGUAAUACGAAGGGUGCAAGCGUUAAUCGGAAUUACUGGGCGUAAAGCGUGCGCAGGCGGUUUGUUAAGACAGAUGUGAAAUCCCCGGGCCCAACCUGGGAACUGCAUUUGUGACUGGCAAGCUAGAGUGUGGCAGAGGGGGGUGGAAUUCCGCAUGUAGCAGUGAAAUGCGUAGAUAUGCGGAGGAACACCGAUGGCGAAGGCAGCCCCCAGGGCCAACACUGACGCUCAUGCACGAAAGCAUGGGGAGCAAACAGGAUUAGAUACCCGUGUAGUCCCUGUCUCUUAUAC